AAGUUGGCCUCCUUCCGGGUCCGGGAGACCGAGCCCUUCCGCUGACCAUACGGAUCCUGAGCCCGAGGACGCAGCCUUGUGGCAAUUUACUGGACAGGAACAUGGCGGCAGCGAACUCACGCGGUCAUUCGGGCCUGCGAAAAACGAACACACCGGACCGCCAAAGCACAAAUGAAGAAACGAAGCAAAGUCUGACGAAGCUGUCACGAA